UACGUAGGGCGCAAGCGUUGUCCGGAAUCAUUGGGCGUAAAGAGCUCGUAGGUGGUCUGUUACGUCUGCUGUGAAAUCCUAGGGCUUAACCCUGGGCCUGCAGUGGAUACGGGCAGACUAGAGGUAGGUAGGGGAGAAUGGAAUUCCCGGUGUAGCGGUGAAAUGCGCAGAUAUCGGGAGGAACACCGGUGGCGAAGGCGGUUCUCUGGGCCUUACCUGACACUGAGGAGCGAAAGCGUGGGGAGCGAACAGGAUUAGAAACCCUUGAUA
rnacentral:rRNA from 1 species